rnacentral:rRNA from 1 species
UGGGGAAUAUUGGGCAAUGGGCGAAAGCCUGACCCAGCAACGCCGCGUGAAGGAUGAAGUAUUUCGGUAUGUAAACUUCGAAAGAAUAGGAAGAAUAAAUGACGGUACUAUUUAUAAGCUCCGGCUAACUACGUGCCAGCAGCCGCGGUAAUACGUAGGGAGCAAGCGUUGUUCGGAUUUACUGGGCGUAAAGGGCGCGUAGGCGGCGCGGUAAGUCACUUGUGAAAUCUCUGAGCUUAACUCAGAACGGCCAAGUGAUACUGCAGUGCUAGAGUGCAGAAGGGGCAAUCGGAAUUCUUGGUGUAGCGGUGAAAUGCGUAGAUAUCAAGAGGAACACCUGAGGUGAAGACGGGUUGCCGGGCUGACACUGACGCUGAGGCGCGAAAGCU